rnacentral:rRNA from 1 species
AUUGAACGCUGGCGGCAGGCCUAACACAUGCAAGUCGAACGAGUGGCGGACGGGUGAGUAAUGUCUGGGAAACUGCCUGAUGGAGGGGGAUAACUACUGGAAACGGUAGCUAAUACCGCAUACCAUCGGAUGUGCCCAGAUGGGAUUAGCUUGUUGGUGGGGUAACGGCUCACCAAGCCGACGAUCCCUAGCUGGUCUGAGAGGAUGACCAGCCACGCUGGAACGGAGACACGGACCAGACUCCUACGGGAGGCAGCAGUGGGGAAUAUUGCACAAUGGGGGCAAGCCUGAUGCAGCCAUGCCGCGUGUAUGAAGAAGGCCUUCGGGUUGUAAAGUACUUUCAGCGGGGAGGCGUUAACCGCAGAAGAAGCACCGGCUAACUCCGUGCCAGCAGCCGCGGUAAUGC